UGGCUAAGACCUUGUUGUGGGGACCAGGUGUCCGGCCCCGCCCCCGAGGCGGGAUUGGAGGAGAGCUGGUCAGCUGACGCUGUGGAGGUUCCGGAAGCGCGCGAAAGCCCCUGUGGACUGCUCUCCGCGUGGGUCCCUCUGACAUCCCGGACGUCCUUGUGCCGUCCUGGCUGGCGAAUCCCAGAAACCCUCAAAGAGCCGUCGUCAGAGGGACGUCAGAGGGACAGGAGCAGCUCCGCGUGGUGGCGCAGGGACAAGUGCACCGGAGCCAGGCCCACGGCAGCCAGCCCCGAACACGGCAGCGCCUGUGUACAGAAGCUGUUCGAGUUUGUCUCACAGAUACAGGGACGUCGGACAGAGAGGAACAGAGAAAUUCCAGAGAUUUUUCACGUGCAAGCGGAUAUUUCCUCUGAGAGUUUCCAGACUAAAUAAGACUCCAGUGUUGAAGGGACGGUGCACACCGCAGAGCAGGUGCUGUUCCGUGUGCGUGGUGGGGCACAGGGAGCCUGGAGGGAGGUGGGCGGAGCUGCCCGAAUAAACGUCUUUUCUGCAAGAAGAUGGGUGCCGGUCCCCCUCCACCUGCCACGAUGUCCAUUUCAAGUGCAGAGGAAAGAUUUGUUGACAGACCUUGGGAAUGAAAUGGGCCGGGCUUCUGAGAAUAAACAGACCUGGGCCGCUCACGAACUGUCUUCAUAUCUAUUUUAAAUAGACUUUAUCUUUCAGAGCAGUGUUAGGUUCAUAGCAAAAUUAAGGGGGAAGUACAGGGACUUCCCAUCUAUCCCCUGCCCCCCCAUACACAGCCCCCCACUGUGAGCACUCCCACCACCGGGGACAUUCGUCACAGUCGGAGUUGCAAAGAAUCUUUCUCUUCUGUCCUGUGGUUUGAUUCACGUUUUCACGCCUGGAGACCCAUCCUGGUGCACUCAGGACGUUUGGUGACAUCUGAAUUUCCUCGAGCCAAGGUUGAAGUGCCACCAUGACUUGUAACAUGGGCAAUGAUAGUAAAAUAACGUAAUGAUUGCGUGUCUCGCCACGUAGGGACUACACAAAAAUUGGGAUGAGCCCCUUGAGAACAGAACCUGCUUUGCACACAUGUAGCAUCUCAGCUGCACAGUAGCUUGAGGAGGAGGAGGAAGAGAACAGAGAUGGGAAAGGUUUUCCUGAGCACAGUCACCAUCUUGGUUGAGGUGGGCACUCAGUGGGACACACACGACCUGUCUGGCACCGUGACUAACCCAUAGGUGCUUCCAGCCCCUAAUCCUGUGCCCACCUCCACACAGUCGGGGGUGGGAGCCAGCUGUGCCUGGCCAUGUCCUGUUGAGGCACACGUGCAGAAAUGUCCUCUAGAGCCCCUCUGGAAGGUCUGGCUCAUCUUCUAUAAGAGACAGACAGGACUGGCCAUGCCCCUUCCCCUUCUUCCUGCCUUGAUGGUGGGCAUGAUUCCCAGAGCUGCAGCAGCCAUUGAUGACCAUGAGGUGACCAACCAACCCUUUAAUCCCCAGCUGCUAGUAGCCUGGUGCAUGAAGGUUAUUCCAGCUGCCAACCUUCUCUUCCCUGGGUGUAACUACGGCAAUAGUAGGACAUUGGAACUGCCUGGAACCGCAUUAAACCAAAGAAGACACUGUGUCAUUGAAA